UUUAUUUACUUACUUACUUACUUUAUUUAUUUAUUUAUUUAUUUAUUUAUUUAUUUAUUUAUUUAUUUUUUCAUUGUUCUCUUUCCUAGGAAGAAAUCCUUAGAAUCACGAGAGGAAGAGUGCAGAGGGGAUAGCGAGCCCGGCCUCUUACCUUCACAGGUGACAUCUGAGGUCCCGAGGCAGGAGAUGGUUCCGGCGGCUCAGGACCCCCGUCGGAGGACAAGCGUUAGUAACCAGAGGUCAAACUUUGAGAUUCCACUGGGUUGAAGUCGCUAUCCGAGGACCUGGCAGAGAAACCGCUGGGUAACAGUGCCCAUGGAAUUGCAAGCUACUGUGGGAUGAUUCAAAUGAUUUAGAAAACUCGAUUCUGGACUGGAGUGGAAUGUUUUUUUCUCCUAUCCGAGUUUUUGUGACUGCGGUAUCAGAGCAGGAGAAUAUCGGUUUCCAUGUGGGGAA
rnacentral:lncRNA from 1 species